rnacentral:rRNA from 1 species
CCAAUAGCGUAUAUUAAAGUUGCUGCAGUUAAAAAGCUCGUAGUUGAAUUUCGGGACCAAUAUGUCGGUCGUGCCUCGGUACGUACUGGCAUCGUUGGUUUCUCCCUUCUGCAGAACCAUGAUGUCAUUUAUUUCGUGUCGUGGGGAAUCAGGACUGUUACUUUGAAAAAAUUAGAGUGUUUAAACCAGGCUCACGCUUGAAUACAUUAGCAUGGAAUAAUACAAUAGGACGUUUGAUUCUAUUUUGUUGGUUUUUAGGAUCGACGUAAUGAUUAAUAGGGAUAGUUGGGGGCAUUAGUAUUCAAUUGUCAGAGGUGAAAUUCUUGGAUUUAUUGAAGACUAACUACUGCGAAAGCAUUUGCCAAGGAUGUUUUCAUUAAUCAAGAACGAAAGUUAGGGGAUCGAAGACGAUCAGAUACAGUCGUAGUCUUAACCAUAAACUAUGCCGACUAGGGAUCGGAUGAUGUUAAUUUUUUUAAUGACUCAUUCGGCGCCUUACG